rnacentral:rRNA from 1 species
GACGAACGCUGGCGGCGUGCUUAACACAUGCCAGUCGAACGGAAAGGCCCUGCUUUUGUGGGGUGCUCGAGUGGCGAACGGGUGAGUAACACGUGAGUAACCUGCCCUUGACUUUGGGAUAACUUCAGGAAACUGGGGCUAAUACCGGAUAGGAGCUCCUGCUGCAUGGGGGGGGUUGGAAAGUUUCGGCGGUUGGGGAUGGACUCGCGGCUUAUCAGCUUGUUGGUGGGGUAGUGGCUUACCAAGGCUUUGACGGGUAGCCGGCCUGAGAGGGUGACCGGCCACAUUGGGACUGAGAUACGGCCCAGACUCCUACGGGAGGCAGCAGUGGGGAAUAUUGCACAAUGGGCGGAAGCCUGAUGCAGCGACGCCGCGUGCGGGAUGACGGCCUUCGGGUUGUAAACCGCUUUCGCCUGUGACGAAGCGUGAGUGACGGUAAUGGGUAAAGAAGCACCGGCUAACUACGUG